rnacentral:rRNA from 1 species
AUGGCGAGAGCCCUGUUCAUCGCGGUCCUUGCCACGUGCUUUGUGGCGCUCGGCCUGCCCGGCGAAGCGGCGGCCGAGAGGAAGACCGUCGGUGUCUACGAGCUCAACAAGGGGGAUUUCUCAAUCAAGGUCACCAACUGGGGCGCCACCCUCAUGUCUGUGAUUCUCCCCGACUCGAGAGGAAACUUGGGGGAUGUCAUCCUGGGCUACGAUACGGUUGCUGAAUAUAUGAAUGGCACCGCCUACUUUGGAGGGUUGAUCGGCCGCGUCGCCAACAGGAUCGCCAAUGCCCGGUUCACGCUCGACGGCAAAGUCUACCGGCUGGUUCCCAACGAUGGCAACAACACGCUCCAUGGUGGUCACCGGGGAUUCGACAAGGUCGUGUGGACGGUGAAAGAGCACGUCGCCGGCGGCAGCUCCCCCUUCAUUACUCUGUAUUACCAUAGCUUCGACGGAGAGCAAGAGAAUGCCAGGGAUGGUGGAAUCAGGAAGAAACUCUCUUGUGAGAAUACGUCAAAUGUAACAAGUCAUAGAGGGAGUGAAAUAGUGGUUGCAGAGGCGGGCAAAGCAGAUACGGUCAUGACUGAAAAAGCAAAAGUAGCUAGUGGAGCGAAGGAGGGAGAGGUGUAUGUGGGAGAGGGGAGAAGUGAGGGGCUGGUCCAUAGUUCACAAAAGGAGGAGCAGGUAAAGAAGCAAAUGUACAGAUUUAAGAGGAGGAAAAGGGAGGAGGGGAUAGAUGAUGUGUCGCAUAUCCUCGCUAUCCCGGUGCGACCGGAUAUGGACGAUUUUGUAGCAUGGCACUACGACCCCAAAGGAAAAUUCUCUGUAAAAGGGGCGUAUCAUGUCGGUAUCCGGAUAAGAGAUGCAAGAAAUGGCAAUGAUGCAGGCCCAUCAUUGAGUCAGGGAAGGGGAGAGGAUAAAUGGCAAAGAUUGUGGAACCUGGAGAUGCCAGGGAAGGUGCGUAUUUUUCUGUGGAGCUGUCAAGCAAGUUUGGAGAGGAUUGGAGCUAGAGGAUACAAGAAGUGCUUUGUUGGAGUGCACUGGGCCAAGAGGUGUUUGAUCACAUAUGGAGCUUGGAUAAUAUAUCUUCAUGAAUUCAGUAAAAGUGUUAUGAAGCCUGUACAAGUGCCUCCCCAGGACAAGGUUACGUGGAAGCGACCCCCACCUGAUGUCGUUAAAGUCAAUUUUGAUGCAUCCUAUCAUGCGGACACAGGGAGAGGAGCAUGGGGGUGUGUUGCUCGUACUGACCAAGGUGAAUUUCUGGCAGCAAAGGCCGGCACACUUAAGCAUCUUACAGGGCCUCUACAUGCAGAAGCUUUGGCAUGUGUGCUAACUACUGAAGCAAGUGCGGGACUGGGCAUCCACAGGGUGAUUCUUGAGUCUAAUUCCCAAGUGCUUGUCCAUACACUCAAUUCUGGUGAAUAUGAACGAGCUUUGAUCGGUGUCCUCCUACGGGAGACGCGAAGUAUCUACCAUCUGAACUUUGAAUCAUUUAGUUUCAGUUUCUGUAACCGAAAUUGUAAUAAGGUAGCACAUGAGUUAGCUGCUUUUGGCUUCAGAUCGGGAGCUGCUGAUCUGUCGUGGAUCGAGUAUGCCCCAGACUUUGUUUCUGUUCUGGUCGCUAGCAACAUUGCUGAGCCAACUCAGUCUGACAGGGGCGUCGAUGGGUACGACAUCAACUACGUCGUGGACGGCGGGGGCCUGCGGCGGGUGGCGGCCGUCCGGGACGGCGCGUCCGGCAGGGCAAUGGAGCUGUGGGCGGACCAGCCUGGGGUGCAGUUCUACACGGCCAACGGGCUGAGCGGCGUGAGGGGAAAGGGCGGCAAGGUCUACGGCCGGUACGGCGCGCUCUGCCUGGAGACGCAGGGGUUCCCCGACGCCGUGAACCGCCCGAGUUUCCCGUCGCAGAUCGUCCGGCCGGGGAAGGUGUACAGGCAUGACAUGGUGUUCAAGUUCUCCUUCUAG